UGUUUUGAUGAACCGGCCCUGAAGGCGAGGUUUAACAUAAUACUCGUGAGAAAGACGGACUUUAAAUCUACGUCGAACAUGCCGAUUAAUCGAACAGAAGUCAGGCCCGGCGGUUACCAAGCCGACAUCUACCAGACCACGCCACUCAUGUCUACAUAUCUCGUCGCGUUUGUAGUGUCGGAUUUUGAAUAUAUAAAUGGAACUACCUCCCGUGGUUUACAGUAUCGUGUAUGGGCAAGGCAAAACGUCCUGUCUCAGCUG